rnacentral:rRNA from 1 species
AUGAAUCCCAUGGCCAAAUGCUGCCUACUGCUCCUCCCCAUCUUCUUCUUGGCAUUUCUCUUGCCCGAGGCGCACGCGACUUCGUGCCACCCCGACGACCUUCGUGCGCUGCAAGACUUUGUUAGGAACCUCAGCGGCGGGGGUGUCCUCCUCCAGGCCACGUGGUUCGGCGCCGCAUGCUGCAGCUGGGAAGGUGUGAGCUGUGAUGCCGCCAGUGGCCGUGUCACGGCACUGCACCUCCCCAGGCGCGGCCUUGUGGGGCCCAUCCCAGGAACCUCCCUUGCAGGCCUUGCACGGCUCGAGGAGCUCGACCUUGGCUCCAACAACUUUCAAAACAUCUCAGGGGUACUCACCGUGUUGCGUGGGUGCCAGAACCUCACCACGCUGAUUCUCACCAAGAAUUUCGGUGGUGAGGAGCUACUAGGCGAUGGUAUUAUUGGCGGGUUCAAGAGCCUCGAGGUGCUGGCCCUUGGUGAUUGUGCUCUCAAGGGCAGGGUUCCGGAAUGGUUGUCUCAAUGCAAGAAAAUGGAGGUGCUUGAUUUGUCCGGCAACCAAUUGGUGGGCACCAUCCCAUCGUGGAUUGGUGAGCUUCACCACCUUUGCUACUUGGAUCUCUCAAACAAUUCAUUGGUUGGCGAUGCACCUAAGAGUUUGGCACUGCUAAAGGGGCUCGCCCCUGAUGGGCAUUCAUCGGGCAUGGUUUUCACUAACAUUCCAUCGUAUGUGAAGCAUAACAGAAGCACACUCGGACGACGACUUAACGAGCUCCCAAAUGUCAUCACAGGGACCAACAACUUUGUAACAUCGGGGAGCAACAAUGUUUUAUCCGGGAAUGACAACACAGUCAUAUUUGGGGAUGAAAACACCGUAUCAGGGAACAACCAUGCUAUAUAUGGGGAUGAAAACACGGUAUCUGGGAACAACCAUGUCGUAUCUGGGAGUAAGCAUGUUGUAUCCGGGAGUAGGCAUGGCGUAACUGGGAGAAGUAGUGUGGUAUCUGGGUUCAACAAUGGCGUAUCUGGGAUCAACCAUGUUGUAUCGGGGAGUAACAAUGUUGUAUCCGGGAGCAACAAUGUUGUAUCUGGGAUGAACCAUAUUGUAUCUGGAAACAACAAAGUAAUAACAUGA